UACAUCACAGGUUGUAGCAGAUGUUCUCAGCAUCUCUAUUGAAAUUUCCUUCUCUCCACUUGCAAGAGGAGCCCCAGGGCCCCACCCCUCUGGUAGCGACAAUGAGCUGAUAAAAGCUUUCGUUCACCAGGGAACUUUGGCAAGGGAACUGGCUAGAUCAGCAAGUCCAUUUCCAUUGUGGAAAAACAACUUGAAACUCCUCUCUACGGAUGGGUAUAAACAAAUCCCAAGGUCACAGACUGGUAGGGCUGAUGCUCACUGAAGGUAGAUGAAAGGCCUAACUGUAAGGAGGGGUUCCUUAUGCUACAGGAGGCCCACAUGUGCUCUGGUGUCAUAAUCAAUCUAAAGUUGGAAGAGGAUCAUUCUGCUUGAAAAUUAUAAAAAUGUGCUUGUCUGGUUUUGAUAUCAGGGUACUCAUUAUAAUUGGAGAGCAUAUAAAGAGCUUCCCAGACAAGAAAAAGCUAAAGGAAUUCAUCACCACCAAACCAGUAUUACAUGAAAUGUUAAAGGGUCUUCUUUAAGAAGAAGAAGAAGAAGAAAAGGUAAAAGUAUAAACAAUAAAAUGGCAAUACAUGCAUGUAUAUCAACAAUUGAAUCUAAAAAAUGAAAUAAAUGAAUAAGCAGAACAUAACAGACUUAUAGAUACAGAGAAUAUUUUGACUGUUGCCAGAUGGGAAUGGUGUUGGGGGGGAUGGGUGAAAAAGGUGAAGGGAUUAAGAAGUAUACACUAGUAGUUGCAGAAUAAUCAUGGGGAUAUAAAGUACAGGGAAUAUAGUCAAUAAUAUUGUAAUAACUAUGUAUGGUGUUAAAUUGGUACUAGAUUUAUUGGGGUGAUCACUUAGUAAGUUAUAUAAUGUCUAAUCCCUGGGAUGUGCACCUGAAAAUAAUAUAAUAUUGUAUG